CACGUAGGGUGCGAGCGUUGUCCGGAAUUAUUGGGCGUAAAGAGCUCGUAGGCGGUGUGUCGCGUCGGCCGUGAAAACUCGGGGCUUAACUCCGGGCCUGCAGUGGGUACGGGCAGACUAGAGUGUGGUAGGGGAGACUGGAAUUCCUGGUGUAGCGGUGAAAUGCGCAGAUAUCAGGAGGAACACCGGUGGCGAAGGCGGGUCUCUGGGCCGAUACUGACGCUGAGGAGCGAAAGCGUGGGGAGCGAACAGG
rnacentral:rRNA from 1 species